rnacentral:misc_RNA from 1 species
UGUUAAUACCACUUACAGAAACUACAGGAACUUUCUGACUGCAUUUGUUCUGGAACGUUUGACUGUUCUGUUCCAGACUGUGGCGCUGCUGCUCUACCCUUUAGUCCUGACAACUUAUUUUGUACGUUUACACUGUGGGCCGCGUUCCGAUGUAUUCAAUCCAGUUACCUGUCGACUUGGCUGGGCUUAUAUGAUGGCUAUUACGGGAACUGCGUUGGGGUACUAUUGCCCCCUGCUGGCGAGAUAUUCUUCCUAUAAUAUCUACAGUACAAAGCUUCUUUGAAGAAAUGGAACAACAGCCUUUCACCAUAAAGUUUUCAAUGUAUAAAUAUUAUUUGUUUCAAAGAAAUAAAUCAAGCAUUGACAAUAAUUGUUUUAAACAUAGUAUAUGGUAUAUGCCAAUAUCAAAACACUUCACAUUUAAGACGACUGUAGGAAUAAUUUUAUUUUGAGAAAGAAGUAUUUGUUUUUGUCUGUGGUUUCUGGAUUAGAAAAACACGUAUGAAGAGAUAAGAAAAAAACUUUAUAGUCUCUGCCGUUUGUAGGAUGUAUAAAAGUGAAUUAAUUAGCGGUCUUCUUUCAGUGAAAAUUCAGACAGUGGACGUAUUUCUAGAAGGUUCUUGUUGUCAACUUGGGAACGGAUUUUGGAGGACGUUUUGGGCUCCAUGAUAGGCUAUCAGGUUAGAAGAAGGACUCGAGAUGAAGUCCGAAAUGUCAUCCACAAACCGUUCUGUAGAAAAACCAGUAUUCGGGAUUUUCUUUGUUAUUGAAUUACUUCAAACGACUCGUUAGAACGUUUGUAUAAUAUUAAGAUAUGAGCUCGGUGUCAGGGUGUGGCUUAAACGUGAGCCCAGCCCAGUAUCGGGACGUGACGUCUUAUCUUAAUAGCAUUCACUGUUAAGUCUGUAUAGUGUUGUCUUGGAUGUAUCUAUGUAGUCAAUAAAAUGAUCCCAA